rnacentral:rRNA from 1 species
UACGAAGGGGGCUAGCGUUGUUCGGAAUCACUGGGCGUAAAGCGCACGUAGGCGGAUCUUUAAGUCAGGGGUGAAAUCCCGAGGCUCAACCUCGGAACUGCCUUUGAUACUGGGGAUCUCGAGUCCGGGAGAGGUGAGUGGAACUGCGAGUGUAGAGGUGAAAUUCGUAGAUAUCAAGUGGAACACCAGUGGCGAAGGCGAGUCCCUGGACAACUCCUGACACUGAGGCACGAAAGCUAGGGGAGCAAACAGG